AGGGCUGGGUCGCGUGUCCUGGCAGGGCCACAGGAAGAGCAUACACAUCUCCUGCGUCUUCGUAUUUUGCCUGAUCUUUUGGCCAGAAGGAGAUUAAAAAGAUGCCCCUCAAGAUGGCUGUGCCUGUCAGCUGCAUGGAGCUUCGUUCAAGUAUUUUCUGAGCCUGAUGGAUUUACAGUGAUCUUCAGUGGUCUGGGGAAUAACGCUGGUGGAACCAUGCA
rnacentral:lncRNA from 1 species